CCUACGGGUGGCAGCAGUGAGGAAUAUUGGUCAAUGGACGAGAGUCUGAACCAGCCAAGUAGCGUGAAGGAUGACUGCCCUAUGGGUUGUAAACUUCUUUUAUAUGGGAAUAAAAUGGUCCACGUGUGGGCUUUUGUAUGUACCUGAUGAAUAAGGAUCGGCUAACUCCGUGCCAGCAGCCGCGGUAAUACGGAGGAUCCGAGCGUUAUCCGGAUUUAUUGGGUUUAAAGGGAGCGUAGGUGGGUUGUUAAGUCAGUUGUGAAAGUUUGCGGCUCAACCCUAAAAUUGCAGUUGAAACUGGCAGUCUUGAGUACAGUAGAGGUGGGCGGAAUUCGUGGUGUAGCGGUGAAAUGCUUAGAUAUCGCGAAGAACUCCGAUUGCGAAGGCAGCUCACUGGACUGCAACUGACGCUGAGGCUCGAAAGUGUGGGUAUCAAACAGGAUUAGAUACCCUGGUAGUC
rnacentral:rRNA from 1 species